UCGAGUGCAAAAGAAGUCGGCCAUUUUUAAAUGUAGAAACAACGGGAAUAACAAUAGAUUAAAAACUCUUGUUUUACAAGGAUACCUUGGCAAUGUGUGAGUACAUUCGAGUGGCUGAGGACGAACACGUUCCUGAGGAUGCUAUCGAACUACCCAGCGACGAAGAUGGUAGUAUAUUAUUGUCCACAAUUCAAGCGCAGUUUCCCGGAAGCACCGGACUAAGAUUUCGAAACGAAGAAACUCAGACAUGGCGAGGUGUUAGAAUCGCUGAUGGCGUCUUAUUUCCGCCCGUGACCGGCUGGGGAAACAAUCUGUAUAUUGUUGUUGCAAAUAAAUCUGGUGUUGACAGUUCAUCAAAGAGAAAGUACGAGGAAUCACCUACUGGACGAGAGCUUCAUACCAAAAUCAUGAAAAACUACUCAAUGGAAACAGAUGAAGAAUUGCUGAGUGAUAUGAUUAUCCUAGGACUCUCUUGGAAGGCUAAAGAUGAAGAUAUCCGAGAUUAUUUUUCACGUUUUGGAGAACUUGAUUACUAUGAAGUGAAGCGUAAUAUACAGACUGGCCAGUCCCGUGGAUUUGGUUUCAUUCGUUUUAAAGAAGCAGAGGUUGCAAAGGCAGUGUUAUCUCGUAGUCAUACUAUUUUGGAUCGAAGAGUCGACAUAAGGUUAUCAAAGGGAAAGGAUGAGUCACCAAGAAAGAUUUUCAUUGGUCGACUUCCAACCAAUUGUACAGUGUCAGAUGUUCAAAAUUACUUUGAGAAAUAUGGUAGACUGUCAGAUGUAUACCUACCCCAGCCCUAUCGGCAAUUUGGUUUUGUUACAUUUACAUCAUGUGAAGCUGCUCGCAAUGUACUUUCACGUGUGCAUAUAAUUAAUGGAUCUCGUAUCAAUUGUACACCGGCAGAGCCAAAAUCACAAAGUAAGGGUCAUGGACACAUGACACGUUCCCAUGAAAGCCCUGCAUCCCCACGUGAAAUGAGAGGGUUUUGGAAUGGAAACAUGGUACCAUAUGGGAGCUUCCCUGAGCGUGGUGGAUCAACUUCCUUGGCGAAUCAGAUGAAUGCAAUGUGGAAUAUGGCAGCACUAGCCCAAGGAAUGGCAGCUGGAAUGGCUGGUGGUAUGGGAGGUAGUAUGGGAUCACCAAUGACUAUGAGUGGUAUGAAUGGUAUGGGUAGUACAGGUGGUGGAAUGCCAUCAUCGCAUAUGGUUAGCAGCAUGAGUGGAGGGAAUGGGAUGGGAAUGAGCCAUGCAGGAUCAAGUGGGAUGGAUGGAAGUACCAGUGAAAGGUGGUAGAUAGUAAGUGGAGAGGAGAAGGUCAUGUGAAAAACCAAGACUGCGUCAGAUAAUGAAAGCAGACUGACGUUUUAUAUGUUUUUCAGUGUUGUGAAUAAAGUAAGGAAAGUAGAUAAUAGAUUAUAUUAUUUGGAGUUUUACUUUUUUUUCAAUUUUUCUUGUGAAUAAGAAACAACUACAUAUAUCACCCAUCACUAAGAUCCAUUCAGAAAAUAUUGGUGUGUUCUAAAUCCCGAUUACUCAGUAAAUUCUUUGUGGUGUAAGGUUGAAAUGUGGGAAUAGAAUUCUUUACGAGGAAAGAGAAAAGAUACAAAGAAAAGUGAGCAUUUUGCAUUGAUUGAGGAAAUGAUUUUGAAAGGAAAUUGUAUGAAAUUGUGAAGGGAAAGUUUGAGGAAAGAACGGCAGAAAUGUGAGCACUCUGUAUGAAAGGUGUUAAAAGAGAAUUUUUAAUUUUGUCAAUAUUAAGAUAAAAUAGGCAACAAAAGAUGUAUGUACAGAUUAAAGCUCAUAAGGAGAUAAAGAAUCAGGUAAUUUUGAUGGUGGAGCAAAAAAGGAGUGAAAAUUAAACUAAUUGUACAAGGUUUCUCAUAACUGGCCAUCAUUGUCUUGAUUUUUCCAACAGCUUCUCCUGGAUUCAGGCCCUGAAGGAAGAAGAAGGAAUGAGAUGCCAUUAAUCUUCUAAUGUGUACAUCAUUUGGUCUCCUUGUUUUUUUCUGAAACCCAGGUAAAGCUAGGAUAUGGCAAUACAAACCUUAGG
rnacentral:misc_RNA from 1 species